UAUAAGGUGAACUUCAAACAGUUGAAAAACAUCAAGUCCCUUGGCAAAUAUAGCUAUACUGGUCUGACUAGAGCCAUCAUACAUUAUUGAGCAAGAUCAAACAAACUCAUUGGUGAAAGAAAAAAUCCUAUUCUUAGUAUAUCCAGCCAAAAUACACCCCGCUGAGAUGAAAGACAAAAAGACAGACUGGCCCAUUUCUGUCUGGUAAGACCCACAGAGGGAAUAAUUUAGAAUUAAUUUCAUUGAUUUGGCCUAAGGAAACCACAGCUUUGAAAGACUGAAUGUAAUUUGUAACUAUUAACAAUGAUGCAGCAGCCACACUGUCCAUUUAUAUCUGAUUUACCAAAUUCUCAAUAGCGUUGUGUAAUUUAGAAACACAACUGUAUCUCUUAACACAUAUCAGGCUGAUAUUACAGAUAAUUGUUUUUAAGCAACCAAAGUUACCUUGUGUUUAAAAAAUGCUAGUCAAGGUUGGUUUAAAAAAGUAGUUUGUAUUAAAUGUACAGUGUAUCUCAAAUCUUAAAAGUAGGCUAUAUUUAAAAAUAAAACUACUUGCAGAUAAUAUUAAUGAACUUAAAUGUACUUAGAGUGUACAUUCAUGACUGCUUCUUAACUUUGUAAUAAUGUCAAAUUAAACUUUUACUUUAAAAUACUGUUUAAAUCAUUAUGUUUUAAUAAUCUUUUGUAAUGCUUUAAAGAAAUAUUACUGUUAUUAUUCAGGUCUCAUUUCAUUCUUCGUGCUGUGCUCAAGGACUCUUAUGUUGAAGUGUAUUUUCUGUUACUAUUGUUCCUGUGUUUCCUUUCCUGUGUUUUCCUUGUUUCCUUUGCUCCCUUGAUUGGCUGGAUCCCAAACGGCACCCUAAACCCUCACGGUCUUCCUCUGAGUCUGCACUUUUGUGACGUUAUGCCUCUUUGAAAGUCCUCUGCGUAGCUCGCGAACUCGCGGGCUCAGCUGAAGUGCGCAUCGAGGGCGCAUCCCUCGUGAGCACCCUUCUGAAACCUAAAAUGAUUAAUGGGACACCCUGCGGUCUCGUGGACAUAAAGAGUACGCUCACGUGGCAGCCAUUAGCUGCCGUUGACUUCUCUCAGUUCAUCACCGACAUGCACCAGACCUGUGGAGAAAGGAAGGAAGGAAGGACAGAUUUACUACUACAUGUUCAAGCUGCACCCGCUAUUGGGUCCUUGGAGACCCACUUUGACCACACAGAUGGGACAUUGCAGCAGACAUGCCGCCCAGUGCCCAUCACGGAGCCCCUCCCUUCAUGAUCCGAGCUACAAUCACGGCCCCGGUGGAUUCAUCCCGCCGAAUAGUGGCACCCUGAGAGACAGAGAGAGACAAAGAAAAGGCGGACGAUCUUGACAGAGUCCUCAUCUAGUUCAUCCUCAAAGUCGUCAGGAAGAGGAGGCAGCACAGGGUCAAAAUUCUUCUGCGCCACUGUGUCAUGAACUGACAGAACCGCCUAAUAAGCAGGAGGGAUAUGAACAUCAACAUUUUGUUUCUAGUCCAACAUUUUUAAUGGAGGUCUAACAAUAAAGGUGUUUUUGUACCUUGA